rnacentral:rRNA from 1 species
AACGAACGCUGGCGGCAGGCUUAACACAUGCCAGUCGAGCGCCCCGCAAGGGGAGCGGCAGCCGGGUGAGUAACGCGUGGGAACGUACCUUUUGGUUCGGAACAACUCCGGGAAACUGGAGCUAAUACCGGAUAAGCCCUAACGGGGAAAGAUUUAUCGCCGAAAGAUCGGCCCGCGUCUGAUUAGCUAGUUGGUGAGGUAACGGCUCACCAAGGCGACGAUCAGUAGCUGGUCUGAGAGGAUGAUCAGCCACACUGGGACUGAGACACGGCCCAGACUCCUACGGGAGGCAGCAGUGGGGAAUAUUGGACAAUGGGCGCAAGCCUGAUCCAGCCAUGCCGCGUGAGCGAUGAAGGCCUUAGGGUUGUAAAGCCCUUUUGUCCGGGAAGAUAAUGACUGUACCGGAAGAAUAAGCCCCGGCUAACUUCGUG